rnacentral:rRNA from 1 species
AUUGAACGCUGGCGGCAGGCUUAACACAUGCAAGUCGAGCGAGCGGCGGAAGGGUGAGUAAUGUCUGGGAAACUGCCUGAUGGAGGGGGAUAACUACUGGAAACGGUAGCUAAUACCGCAUACCAUCAGAUGGGCACAGAUGGGAUUAGCUAGUAGGUGGGGUAAUGGCUCACCUAGGCGACGAUCCCUAGCUGGUCUGAGAGGAUGACCAGCCACACUGGAACUGAGACACGGUCCAGACUCCGACGGGAGGCAGACGUGGGGAAUAUUGCACAAUGGGCGCAAACCUGAUGCAGCCAUGCCGCGUGUGUGAAGAAGGCCUUCGGGUUGUAAAGCACUUUCAGCGAGGAGGCGUUACUCGCAGAAGAAGUACAGGCUAACUCCGUGCCAGCAGCCGCGGUAAUAC